AUUACAGAUAACAUAUAGCAUAAAAUUUCCAUUCUUUAUCAAAUGUCAUAAUACUAUAUACAGAGCAAUUGUAAAGUCAGUACCUAUUUGUAAUAAUGAAUAUUUCAAAAAGUAAACAACUUAUCACAGUUUUAUUUUCAUUGAAUACAUUAUUAGGGUGUACCAUUUGGUUAUUAAGUUACAUCUCAAUGCAUGCACCCGCAUUUUCCACACACUUCUGGAAUCUUUUUAGGAACAGAAUCCAUGGCUCUUCUAACAUCUCAACUGGAACAUUUGCAAACACUUCACGGAUAUUUUGUUCAAGACUGUUAAUAUCCCAUGGUUUUAACUUGUACACUUG
rnacentral:lncRNA from 1 species